rnacentral:tRNA from 1 species
ACUGUUGAAGCAAAAACUUGCGUGUAGUUUCGGCCUGCAAGAGUGGGUGGCAUGAUCACCCCAACAGUC